UAGGGUAUAGCUCAGUGGUACAGCACUUGCCUAGCGUGCAUUGAGGCCCUGGGUUCAAUCCCUAGUACCAUAC
rnacentral:tRNA from 1 species